rnacentral:piRNA from 1 species
UGCGACCACAAGCUUCAUGAUGUCUU